rnacentral:rRNA from 1 species
GAUAAGGAGCUUGCUCCUUUGACGUUAGCGGCGGACGGGUGAGUAACACGUGGGUAACCUACCUAUAAGACUGGAAUAACUCCGGGAAACCGGGGCUAAUGCCGGAUAAUAUUUAGAACCGCAUGGUUCUAAAGUGAAAGAUGGUUUUGCUAUCACUUAUAGAUGGACCCGCGCCGUAUUAGCUAGUUGGUGGGGUAAUGGCUUACCAAGGCAACGAUACGUAGCCGACCUGAGAGGGUGAUCGGCCACACUGGAACUGAGACACGGUCCAGACUCCUACGGGAGGCAGCAGUAGGGAAUCUUCCGCAAUGGGCGAAAGCCUGACGGAGCAACGCCGCGUGAGUGAUGAAGGUCUUCGGAUCGUAAAACUCUGUUAUUAGGGAAGAACAAAUGUGUAAGUAACUGUGCACGUCUUGACGGUACCUAAUCAGAAAGCCACGGCUAACUACGUGCCAGCA